rnacentral:rRNA from 1 species
GAAGAUAACCAGGCCCAGGUCUGGGAUGUAUUUCGAAGAGAGACCACCUGGGAAUCACAGAAGUCAUCUACA